CUUGCUACACCAUAGGCUGUGAGUUGCGAACGGGUGAGUAACGCGUAGGUAACCUGCCUAUUAGAGGGGGAUAACUAUUGGAAACGAUAGCUAAUACCGCAUAACAGUAUGUAACACAUGUUAGAUGCUUGAAAGAUGCAAUUGCAUCGCUAGUAGAUGGACCUGCGUUGUAUUAGCUAGUAGGUAGGGUAAUGGCCUACCUAGGCAACGAUACAUAGCCGACCUGAGAGGGUGAUCGGCCACACUGGGACUGAGACACGGCCCAGACUCCUACGGGAGGCAGCAGUAGGGAAUCUUCGGCAAUGGGGGGAACCCUGACCGAGCAACGCCGCGUGAGUGAAGAAGGUUUUCGGAUCGUAAAGCUCUGUUGUUAAGGAAGAACGAGUGUGAGAAUGGAAAGUUCAUACUGUGACGGUACUUAACCAGAAAGGGACGGCUAACUACGUGCCAGCAGCCGCGGUAAUACGUAGGUCCCGAGCGUUGUCCGGAUUUAUUGGGCGUAAAGCGAGCGCAGGCGGUUAGAAAAGUCUGAAGUGAAAGGCAGUGGCUCAACCAUUGUAGGCUUUGGAAACUGUUUAACUUGAGUGCAGAAGGGGAGAGUGGAAUUCCAUGUGUAGCGGUGAAAUGCGUAGAUAUAUGGAGGAACACCGGUGGCGAAAGCGGCUCUCUGGUCUGUAACUGACGCUGAGGCUCGAAAGCGUGGGGAGCGAACAGGAUUAGAUACCCUGGUAGUCCACGCCGUAAACGAUGAGUGCUAGG
rnacentral:rRNA from 1 species